rnacentral:rRNA from 1 species
UACAUGGGGUGCAAACGUUGCUCGGAAUUAUUGGGCGUAAAGCGCACGUAGGCGGUCCGUUAAGUCAGAUGUGAAAGCCCCCGGCUCAACCGGGGAAGUGCAUCUGAAACUGGCGGGCUAGAGUACGAAAGAGGGUCGCGGAAUUCCCGGUGUAGAGGUGAAAUUCGUAGAUAUUCGGAAGAACACCAGGUGGCGAAGGCGACUGACUGGACGAAGCUAU